rnacentral:rRNA from 1 species
GAUGAACGCUGGCGGCGUGCCUAAUACAUGCAAGUCGAGCGAACAGACGAGGAGCUUGCUCCUCUGACGUUAGCGGCGGACGGGUGAGUAACACGUGGAUAACCUACCUAUAAGACUGGGAUAACUUCGGGAAACCGGAGCUAAUACCGGAUAAUAUAUUGAACCGCAUGGUUCAAUAGUGAAAGACGGUUUUGCUGUCACUUAUAGAUGGAUCCGCGCCGCAUUAGCUAGUUGGUAAGGUAACGGCUUACCAAGGCGACGAUGCGUAGCCGACCUGAGAGGGUGAUCGGCCACACUGGAACUGAGACACGGUCCAGACUCCUACGGGAGGCAGCAGUAGGGAAUCUUCCGCAAUGGGCGAAAGCCUGACGGAGCAACGCCGCGUGAGUGAUAAAGGUCUUCGGAUCGUAAAACUCUGUUAUUAGGGAAGAACAAAUGUGUAAGUAACUAUGCACGUCUUGACGGUACCUAAUCAGAAAGCCACGGCUAACUACGUG